rnacentral:rRNA from 1 species
AAAAGCUUCUAGCGAGAUAAAAGGUGCCUGUACCGCAAACCGACACAGGUAGGCGAGGAGAGAAUCCUAAGGUGUGCGAGAGAACUCUGGUUAAGGAACUCGGCAAAAUGACCCCGUAACUUCGGGAGAAGGGGUGCUUUCUUAACGGAAAGCCGCAGUGAAUAGGCCCAAGCGACUGUUUAGCAAAAACACAGCUCUCUGCGAAGCCGUAAGGCGAAGUAUAGGGGGUGACACCUGCCCGGUGCUGGAAGGUUAAGGAGAGGGGUUAGCGUAAGCGAAGCUCUGAACUGAAGCCCCAGUAAACGGCGGCCGUAACUAUAACGGUCCUAAGGUAGCGAAAUUCCUUGUCGGGUAAGUUCCGACCCGCACGAAAGGUGUAACGAUUUGGGCACUGUCUCAACCAGAGACUCGGUGAAAUUAUAGUACCUGUGAAGAUGCAGGUUACCCGCGACAGGACGGAAAGACCCCGUGGAGCUUUACUGUAGCCUGAUAUUGAAUUUUGGUACAGUUUGUACAGGAUAGGCGGGAGCCAUUGAAACCGGAGCGCUAGCUUCGGUGGAGGCGCUGGUGGGAUACCGCCCUGACUGUAUUGAAAUUCUAACCUACGGGUCUUAUCGACCCGGGAGACAGUGUCAGGUGGGCAGUUUGACUGGGGCGGUCGCCUCCUAAAGUGUAACGGAGGCGCCCAAAGGUUCCCUCAGAAUGGUUGGAAAUCAUUCGUAGAGUGCAAAGGCAUAAGGGAGCUUGACUGCGAGACCUACAAGUCGAGCAGGGACGAAAGUCGGGCUUAGUGAUCCGGUGGUUCCGCAUGGAAGGGCCAUCGCUCAACGGAUAAAAGCUACCCCGGGGAUAACAGGCUUAUCUCCCCCAAGAGUCCACAUCGACGGGGAGGUUUGGCACCUCGAUGUCGGCUCAUCGCAUCCUGGGGCUGUAGUCGGUCCCAAGGGUUGGGCUGUUCGCCCAUUAAAGCGGUACGCGAGCUGGGUUCAGAACGUCGUGAGACAGUUCGGUCCCUAUCCGUCGUGGGCGUAGGAAAUUUGAGAGGAGCUGUCCUUAGUACGAGAGGACCGGGAUGGACGCACCGCUGGUGUACCAGUUGUUCUGCCAAGGGCAUAGCUGGGUAGCUAUGUGCGGAAGGGAUAAGUGCUGAAAGCAUCUAAGCAUGAAGCCCCCCUCAAGAUGAGAUUUCCCAUAGCGUAAGCUAGUAAGAUCCCUGAAAGAUGAUCAGGUUGAUAGGUUCGAGGUGGAA